rnacentral:hammerhead_ribozyme from 1 species
AUUCAGCUGACUCGUCCCAAAUAGAAUGAAACUCGUGUCCUGAAU